CCUUGUGACUACAUUGAUAAUUGCUAUAAAGUGUCUACAUACUUGAAGACUUAUAGUCAUUUGAUAAAUCCUACUAAUGGAAAAGAUAUGUGGCCUAAAAGCAUUAUGCCUCCUAUCAUACCAAAUGAGGUUCCAAAGCCAAAAAAAGGUAGAAGACAAAUAAUGCGAAAGAAGGAACCUGGUGAGGGUUCAAAUGGAACCAAGAACGGAAUCGUUAGUGGAAAGGUCUCUAAGAAGGGUACUGUUAUGCAUUGUUCAAUAUGUGGGUCGACAGAGCAUAAUAAAAGAUAUCAUGGGAAACAAGGGAGUGAUGCUACUCAACCAAUACCAAAAAAAUUACCAGUAAGUUUGUUUUUAGUAUUUUAGAUCCUUCUUUAUCUCAAAAAAAAUAUUUCUUAUAUUUUUUUUAUCUGUAGGUGAGAAGGAAUAAAAGUGUUGGACAAAGUGGUGGGUUACACUCUAUUUCCAUGCCACAUACAAUGN
rnacentral:lncRNA from 1 species